rnacentral:lncRNA from 1 species
CUUCAACAGAGCAUGCAAAAGGGAGAUAGAGACACCGAGUGACCAAGACAGUGGUGGAGUACCUUCGAACGGGCUUCGAACUGGAACAGUGAUUGCGGAGAACAGAGAUAGUGCCGGCGGCGGCGUGGCUGCGCGACGGAGGAAGGUUGCGAUGGCUGCGCGAUGGGAGAUAGAGACACCGAGUGACCAAGACAGUGGUGGAGUACCUUCGAACGGGCUUCGAACUGGAACAGUGAUUGCGGAGAACAGAGAUAGUGCCGGCGGCGGCGUGGCUGCGCGACGACGGAGGAAGGUUGCGAUGGCUGCGCGAUGGGAGAUAGAGACACCGAGUGACCAAGACAGUGGUGGAGUACCUUCGAACGGGCUUCGAACUGGGACAGUGGUUGCGGAGAACAGAGAUAGUGCCGCCGGUGGCGUGGCUGCGCGACGGAGGAAGGUUGCGAUUUCUGCGCGAUGGAAUGGAAGGUUGAUAUCGAUGGCUGCUGCGUGAUGGAGGGAAGGUGAGCGAGCAGACGGUGGCUGUUGGAAGGAACGACGGCGGCGGCACGAGGCGGUGGCUGGACGGAGGUAAGGGAACGGCCAGG